rnacentral:tRNA from 1 species
GCCCUCGUAGCUCAAUGGAUAGAGCUCCGCAUUCCUAACGCGGUGAUAGAGGUCCGAUUCCUCUCGAGGGUACCA